UGUGGUGGCAGCUACACUUGCCGACCAGCGAUCAUCCGCCGAGCAGGUCUACCGUGCGAUAAUAUUUUAAGAACGAUAAUAACAAUAAAUAUGAUUGGUAAGACGCUUGCUACUAAUAGUAAUCGGCGGGACGCCAUUACAAGACUGCAAAUGCAACACCAGGACCAGUCGCUGUUGGAUAGUAAGCAGACUUUCGUUGCUGCAUCGUACUUGCCGGCCAAUUGUGGUACAACAACUGUUGAUGUGACGGAUAUGCUCUACAACGGUAGCCUGCACUCGUUUCCAUCAGGAAAUGAUAAUGAAUCUUCGUCAACCGGAAGGAAAACGAAGAAUUUAGUUUCGGUGGACGACGCGGGACGAUUGGUGUACGCGAAUGGUCACCGCUGUUCCACGGCCGACUGCAGCUGUUGGAUACUGUCCGUGCCGCUGGCCGACGACUGUCACGCGUACAAUUGCCGGCUGUCGCUUCUGGCCGUCGGUACCGUAGGGCUGCACACUACCACCGCUGUGAUGGCCGGACAACCACUCAAGAUGUGGUUCUCGCCAGAUCUCCAAUUAAUGCUGCACGUGCCGUUUCUCACGCCCGUCAACAUAAAAGACGAGAGAAAGUACGUGUGCCACAAAUGUGGUUACGCGUGCGAAAAUCCCAACCCACUGAAAAUCCACAUGGCACUGGACUGUGGCAAACAACCACGCGCUAAACUCUGGUCCAGACUGACGGCCAACCACUGCGAAAACAGCCAAACGAUCGAAGCGUCGUUUCGGUUUAGCCUAACAUCAGCUGAGUCGCAGAUACCCUUAUCGUCCGCCUCUGUAGACUCAGCGUUCCGACCUUACUCACCCGUGUCAUCGGCCAGCAGUGGCAGCUGCCCGAUACCACCGUCACCACUUCGUCCACCACCACCGGCACCACUGUCGUCUUCGUUGUCCGAUCAAACGCCACUACAGGACGAACCGCUUGGACAAGUGAACGGCGGCAAAAACUCGGCGUUUUUCAAUCAACGUUGUGCAGAAAUGGAAACCAUCGUCAGCAAUCUCGGCCAUUCCGAUCAAGGACACCUCUGCAUAUACUGCGGAAAAGUUUAUUCUAGGAAGUACGGGCUCAAAAUUCACAUCAGGUUAGAACUCACACUGGUUUUAAGCCGCUAAAAUGUAAGUAUUGCUACCGACCGUUCGGCGAUCCCAGCAACUUGAAUAAACACGUGCGGUUGCAUGCCGAAGGAGACACUCCUUACAAGUGUGAUUGUUGCGGUAAAAUUCUGGUACGCAAGAGAGACCUCGACAGGCAUAUGAAGUCAAGACACUCCCAGGUUUUACAGAAAAACGUGUAUAAAAUGCACGUAUCCAUAUAGUGCUUUUAGUUUAUAAUUAAAUGUUAACAUUGUUGUGAUAUUUUAGUCUUAAAAUUAAAAUGUAUAAAAUCCUUGAACAAGAUAACAAGAUAUAAAAUUCAAAGAUUAUAUUUAAAUCUAGUCAUUCUCAAUAGGUACCUAUAGACUUUUGUAGUAUUAAGAAUCUGUUAUUUUGUACACAUAGUUUAAUAAGUAUUUUAUUUAUUAUUUUUAUUAAAUAUACAUAAACGGAUGGCCAAGAUAAA